rnacentral:rRNA from 1 species
UUCUGGCUCAGGAUGAACGCUGGCGGCGUGCCUAAUACAUGCAAGUCGAACGGAAAUUUAACGCUGAGGCGAGCUUGCUCAAUUCUUGUUAAAUUUAGUGGCGGACGGGUGAGUAACGCGUGGGUAACCUGCCUUACACUGGGGGACAACAGUUGGAAACGACUGCUAAUACCGCAUAAGCGCACAGAAUCGCAUGAUUCAGUGUGAAAAAACUCCGGUGGUGUAAGAUGGACCCGCGUCUGAUUAGCUAGUUGGUGAGGUAACGGCCCACCAAGGCGACGAUCAGUAGCCGGCCUGAGAGGGUGAACGGCCACAUUGGGACUGAGACACGGCCCAAACUCCUACGGGAGGCAGCAGUAGGGAAUAUUGCACAAUGGGGGAAACCCUGAUGCAAGCAACGCCGCGUGAGUGAAGAAGUAUUUCGGUAUGUAAAGCUCUAUCAGCAGGGAAGAAAAUGACGGUACCUGACUAAGAAGCCCCGGCUAACUACGUGCCAGCCGCUGC